rnacentral:rRNA from 1 species
UCUAGCUUGCUAGGUGGAUUAGUGGCGCACGGGUGAGUAACGCAUAGAUGACAUGCCCUUUAGUUUGGGAUAGCCACUAGAAAUGGUGAUUAAUACCAAAUACUACCCUACGGGGGAAAGAUUUAUCGCUAAAGGAUUGGUCUAUGUCCUAUCAGCUUGUUGGUGAGGUAAAGGCUCACCAAGGCGAUGACGGGUAUCCGGCCUGAGAGGGUGAACGGACACACUGGAACUGAGACACGGUCCAGACUCCUACGGGAGGCAGCAGUAGGGAAUAUUGCUCAAUGGGCGCAAGCCUGAAGCAGCAACGCCGCGUGGAGGAUGAAGGUUUUAGGAUUGUAAACUCCUUUUGUCAGAGAAGAUAAUGACGGUAUCUCACGAA